CUGUUCGUGCCGAGCUGCAGCCGCUCGGGGCGCUGUGAAGGCAGAAGUUGAGGGGUUGAGCCCUGGGGAGACCUGAACUUAAGGCUGCAGCUGACAGUGAAGAAGGCGCUGUGAAGGCAGAAGUUGAGGGGUUGAGCCCUGGGGAGACCUGAACUCAAGGCUGCAGCUGACAGUGAAGAGGUGACGAGGACAUUAUCUGGUUUGCUCCACCAUGUGCCCCUUUGUCAGGGGAGAAUGGUUGAGGUUGAUGAAAAGUUGUCCUGGGCCCUGCUGGAGGUUCAGUGUUCUUCUGCUGAAGAAGAUGGAUGGUUCUGCUGCUGCCUGGGAUCCUCAUCCAAGCCACGGCAUUCCCAUCAGCCUGCAACAGCUCUGACCUUCCCUCAGAGCUGUCAGGAGUGACAAAUUUGUGUCCUGCCAACUUAAAUGGAGGUGUUAGAUUUUUUGCCCCCCAGGUACUGGGCAUGUAACUGGAAUGGGUUCUGGAACUUUCUGCAUGUUUGCAGUUGGGUGCUGUUGUCUGCAGGGGCUGCAUUCCCUGCCUGGCAGCUCUGUUAUGCUGCCAUAGUCACGAAGGGCAAGGAAUCCUUUCUCAGAGCAGCUGUCAGGUGUGGGGGGAUGGCCUUGUGAGGGAGGAAGGGAGGGCUUGGGUCUCCCCUUCAUGCAGAAAGCUUCAGUGGUGUAUCCCUGGCAGCAGUUUCUGUACUGCAGAGCCUGUUUUCAAUAAAAUCUGAGUAAUGGGUGA